UCGCCCAAACACUUGACGCAUCGAGAGC
rnacentral:sRNA from 1 species